GCAUAUCUCAUGGGGGAGAACAACAUUGUGUGAUAGAUUCCUUGACGUAGAUAGUGCAUAUCUUGUAGGGGUGAAAAGCAUAUCUAAUAUGGAAGAUCUAGAUAGUGCACAUCUCGUGGGGAAAAACAUAUAGUGUGGAAGUUUCCAGGUGAGGAAGCAUGGUUGUUGAACCAGAAGGAUGUUUUCCUUGAUCGGCAAACAAAACCAAAAAGGGAAGGUUGAAGAUACAAGCUGAAGCUUGUAGAUGUGACUUGGCGAACUCUGAUUGCCACUCAGUUGCUAGAAGAAUUUCAUGGUAUAUCUUUUGGUAACACGACAUCCUAUACUUUUACCAUAUCCACUCUUUAGAUGGUCAGCCCAUAUUCGAGGAGCCGUUGAAGGGCAUUAUAGGCAGUUAUCCCUUCGGAGAUCGCUGAAUAGGAGGUACAUGUUUAUGAAGGUUAAUGGGGCAUUGGGUUUUUUUGUUUUGCCGUCGCGCUGGUAAGUUGCCUCAAAAUUUCCAAGCGUUAAUUUAUCUGUAGCAUCUCCAACUGAUUCAUUAUAUUUGUUCCAGCUGUUUCCCAUCCUGUACUGUUUAGUGGGAAGGCGGCGGUAAAAGUGGCACUGGCUAUUCCAAGGCAGUUAAGAUGGGUUUCGUUUUGGGUUAUUCGAGAGGCUUUGGGUAAGUUUAUCCUUUCUUGGAUGUCUGAUACGAGCUAUGAAUUAGCUGUUUACUUUCCCACUUUCCCUUUUGUUGUAUUUUUCACGGAAUAAUCUGGAGAUCUCGGUGGCUUCCAUUUACGAUGAGU
rnacentral:lncRNA from 1 species